rnacentral:misc_RNA from 1 species
AAGUGAAGGUCAAUACUCAAUUUGAGAAGUUAAAUUGCUUUUGCUUUGAAAGGCAAUGAAAUUGUUGAUGUAAUUAACGAAUAUUUCAGUUUAAAGGAAGGAAUACAUAAAUUUAUCCUUGAAUUUUACUAAAAAUUAUAAUAGCUUUCUGUGCACUAACUACAUCAGAGCAAAGAUGAAAAAUAUUACCUUAAUUGAACAUUCUUUUUUAAAAUUACAGUCUAGCUGGAGUGAUUUUGAACCAAGUGAUUCCUGGUUGUAACUUGUCUGCUACUCUGCUUACUAAUGGCGCUCUGUUAUUAAGAUGCAGAUUGUUAAUUUCAGCCAUUUUGUGAGAAAUUUCAGCCAUAUUUCAAUGAAAAAAGCUCAAUUGAUGUCAGAAGAAAAUGCUGCAGCAAUAUAAAUGGAAAAUUUACUGAAUUAAAAGAUUCAUCUUUUGCAGGAAGAAUAAUUAAUUACGUUGUAAUUCACAAAAAUUUUCAAUCUAAACUUCCAUUUCAAUUAGAAUGGCUGUGUAAGCAAUUGAGCAUCAUCCUUACAUGAUUUUGAUGAUUAAAUUUGUGUAAGUAAUUCAUUACAAAAUGUAGACAACAACAUGUAUUAGCCUAAUAAGAAGAAAAGAUGAGGAGGAAAAACCAACAGUGGUUUAAACCCAGGACCAGCAGGUCCAACCCUAUACACCCAACCUAUAAUAACUAAACCACUUGUUGAUGAAAAAAAACCCCUCAAACAAUGCAACGUAGAUAAAGAGUCAAUUAAAUAAAGCAACAUAGACGGAAUUGGUACACGAUUCAUUCUCUCUUAUUGCAGGAUCCAAAGCUCAAACUCAGAGACUUCUGGCCUCACACAAAUUUGCAAUCUAAAUCUCCAUAACUUGUGAGAUACUAAAUUGCAUGUAAGCUCCAGACAUUCCAUUAAUAUAGUUGUGCAAGCAAACAAGUAGCUCAUAGUAUCAUCCUUUUAUGAUUAUAAUCCUUGAAUCAGCUUGAAUUAAAUCUUCGCUUCAAGCUGUUAAAAAACACUCCAUCUGAACAACAUGUGCUAGAGCAGGAAAUAACAUUUUCAAGUCGCAACUCGUGCAACUUUGAAUUAUGGGUCAACGAUUCAUUCCAUUAUUCACUCAGAAUAUCUGCUGCAUAAAUGAUGCAAAUGGGGAGAGAACCAAUCACUCAACAACAGCAGGAAUGUACAGGAAAGUCAUUGGGAGUCUUGAACAGUCAAACCUUACAAGAGAUGGUAAUUAUGGGUCAAUGAUGGAUGUGCAUGUGCUUAUCUUUCACUACACACAAAGAAAAACACAAUAACCUUAGUUCAUAUCAGGAAGUUUGUAAAUCACAUAAAAAAAAACACACACACACACACUUGACCAGAUUAAAUUAGGGGUUUUCCCUUCUUUUCUCCAAGAUCUGAUAUUAAGCCAGAUAGAUUAUAACAAUUUCACCGAAUUGCGUUCGAAAGUUUUGAAAUUUCAGAUUUUGAUCUCAGAUCUGCUUUUAAGACAUUCAGAUCGGACCUAACACUUAAUUUCUUAAAGGUCUAGGGGUUUUUUUUUUUUCUCUGAUGAUAAAAAAAAAUAAUAACA